rnacentral:tRNA from 1 species
CGGAUUUAGCUCAUUUGGUAGAGCGCGACCUUGCCAAGGUCGAGGUGGCGGGUUCGAGCCCCGUUUGUGCUAU